UAGGUUGUUUCAACUAGCUUCUCUGGUCCA
rnacentral:piRNA from 1 species